rnacentral:sRNA from 1 species
UGAAAUGCAAGCGACUGUCCACAUGCCAUCUGAGAAGGGUUUAGAGGUCCCAAAGUCCCCAGAGUGAUGAAUAAUUUAUGGGUGCUAUUUUGUCUGUGUUCAAGGCUGUCGUCCAUCCAUUCAUCCAUCUUCCUUCCUUCCUUCUUUCCGUCUAUCCAUCCUUGUUUUUAUGAGACAGAAUCUCACUCUGGAGCCCAGACUAAGCUGGAACUCACUAUGUAACCCAGGCUGGACCUUGAAUUAGGGAAUUAUCCUGCUUCAGCUUCCAAAAAGCUGGGAUUAUAAAGUUGAACCAGCAGGUAAUGGCUCACGUCUUUAAUCCCAGCACUUGGGAGACAGAGGAAAACCCAGCCUCCGCCUGCCCCCAAUCCCAGCCACUGUGGAAUUUCACCCAAGGGAUGCUAAUAGCCAUUUAUUUGAAUGACCAUUGCUCAGACGCUGCUCUGAGCAAGUGCUACAAGUCUGAGCAUCCUUAUGAGACAGGCACUCCCUUCACAGAUGAGGGGAGUGGAGCACAGAGAGGAGAAGACAGCUGCCUAAGUUGCUCACUGGGAUCUGGCCAGAGGCAGAAUGGACUGGACUCCCGACUCCUGUUCUUAGCGGCUACACCGUUCAGCUGUGGCAUCUAUCCCAGUCCACUGAGUAGCUGAUCUUUUCAUUUGGAUCUCACAGUGUUAAUAUCUCAGGUUUCUCCCCUAUCCCAGGACAGGGACUUGCUAUGUAGCCCAGACUGGCCUCCAGGUCCCAUGCCCCUGCCUGCCUCCACCUCCCAAGUGCCUCAGACUUUUCACGGGCAGAGCUGUGUUGGUUAGAGGGAAGCUUCUCCUACCUCUUCGUGGUUCUUCUUGAGGCAGACGUGGAGAAGCAAGGGCAGCUUUUUCCAAGGACGGAAGGCAUAGUUCAGUGUUCGCUUCCUCCAGAGCUUUCACAUUAUCCAGGGGCUGAUCCAGUGUCACAGGCUAAGUGAGACAGAGACAGGCCCUGUCUUCCUGGUUUACUAUGCAGGUGGAUGAAGGACUAUUAGCUACGGAAACAGGAUCUUACUAUUGACCAGGCCUGGAAUUUGCCAUGUAUCUCAGGCUGAUCAAAGAAGGCAAUGCCAAACACCCGAGGCUGGCUGUUUUAUAAAGAAAAGAGAUCUCUCUAACUGACAGUUUUGGAAACUGAGAAUCUGUGAUUGGGCAGCACCAUCUUUUCAGCUUCUGGUGACGGUCCCUUUGUCUUCAUCACAAUGUGGUAGAGAAACGGGAAGGGAAAAGCUUCUGAAGAAGAAGCAAAUACUUGGGGAUGGCUUUGCUUUAAAACAGCCCUUCCACAAGAGCUGAUUGGGUCCCACAAGCAAAACUGUGUGAGUCCUUUUUGAGGCAGAGUCCCUAAUGAACACUGAGCCAAUUGCCUUCCGCGGCGUGUAACCUCUGAAAGGUUCCACUCCCUCAAAGCCAUCACCUGGAGACCAAGUUUCCAGCACAGAAACCUCAAGACAUACGCAAACCACAUUCAAACUUUAGCAACUGGAGAGGGGAGACCAAUGUACAGAAUUUUAAAAUAGGUAGAUGCCGUUCAAAUCCAGAAACCAGCCACAGGGACUGGGCUCAACGGAUAUGGGCUAUGGAACGAGGAACAAGUGGACCAUGAUGUUAAGUGGACAUGGAAUCGUGAUGUCGGAGGUGAGAGAAAUGGACCUGCAGCCAGUUGCUGAUAUCCUUUGAUGAUGGGCUGACAAGAGUAUGUGGUAAGGGGCAUUUGGGUGCCAUCUUCUGUAAAAGCAUUUUAGCAUAUCACAAAACAAAACCAAUGAGACCCUACAUCAAACAAAGUUGAAGGUUAGGGUUGACACUGGAAGUUGUCUUCUGACCUCUAUAUGGAGGGCAUAGCAUUGCACAGAUACAGACAUAGACACACAGACACACACAACACACACACACACACACACACACACACACACACAAAUAAAUUGAAAAAGAAUUAAGUGUCACAAAGCUGGACGUAGCAUUGUGGAUGGACGGAAGAUGGGUUUAUUUGUAUUAUCUGUCUUAAAGUUCAUAGAUGGGGUGUGUGGAGUGGAAGCGAAAGGAAAGAUUCAGGGUGACACCAGAGGAGGGAGAGAAGACAGAAGCUGAAAACUGGGAGGAGAGAGUGCACCAGUAGGGAGAGAGACAGGGACAGGGACUAAUGAGGGGCUUCUGACAGAUGUUACUGCUAGGACAUCUAGAGGAAAGACACAUUGAAUAGUUAAUGCUGUAAGGCAGAUUCUCCAUUAAAUGCUCUCUCUCUCUCUCUCUCUCUCUCUCUCUCUCUCUCUCUCUCUCC